rnacentral:miRNA from 1 species
AGUUGGACAGGGGAUCUUGACA